rnacentral:tRNA from 1 species
CGCCGCGUUAGGCGAGUCAGGUUUAAGCCGCCUGAUUCUCAAUUAGGAAAUCAUCAAUUCAGCUCCGAUACGCGCUGCCA